UGGGGAAUUUUGGACAAUGGGGGAAACCCUGAUCCAGCCAUCCCGCGUGUGCGAUGAAGGCCUUCGGGUUGUAAAGCACUUUUGGCAGGAAAGAAACGUCGCGGGUUAAUACCCCGCGAAACUGACGGUACCUGCAGAAUAAGCACCGGCUAACUACGUGCCAGCAGCCGCGGUAAUACGUAGGGUGCAAGCGUUAAUCGGAAUUACUGGGCGUAAAGCGUGCGCAGGCGGUUCGGAAAGAAAGAUGUGAAAUCCCAGAGCUUAACUUUGGAACUGCAUUUUUAACUACCGGGCUAGAGUGUGUCAGAGGGAGGUGGAAUUCCGCGUGUAGCAGUGAAAUGCGUAGAUAUGCGGAGGAACACCGAUGGCGAAGGCAGCCUCCUGGGAUAACACUGACGCUCAUGCACGAAAGCGUGGGGAGCAAACAGGAUUAGAUACCCUGGUAGUCCACGCCCUAAACGAUGUCAACUAGCUGUUGGGGCCUUCGGGCCUUGGUAGCGCAGCUAACGCGUGAAGUUGACCGCCUGGGGAGUACGGUCGCAAGAUUAAAACUUAAAUGAAUUGACGGGGGUCAUAGCUGUUUUUCCU
rnacentral:rRNA from 1 species